AGGGUAAUAGUUAAAAAUAACAUUUGAUUUGCAUUCAAAAAGUGUUGGAAUACCAACUUAUCUUA
rnacentral:tRNA from 1 species